CGCCAACGUCCGCAUCCUGAGAAAGAGCGGAUUAGAAGAAAAGCCGGCCGCCGGUCAGACACUGACUGCAAGCAAGACAAAGAGCCACGCCCACCAACUUACAGAGCCCCGCCCGCCAACUCUAAGGCCAUGGGAUAUGCUUAACAGAGCCCCGCCCGCCAACUCUAACCCUCCUCCCGCGUCAUGGGAUACGGACGACAGAGCCCUGCCCUAACCCUCCUCCUGUGUCCACCGUCCCUCUCGAGCUCAGAGAAACCGCCCACUGAGGGCACUUAGCCCCGCCCCUUCUGACAUGUGCACCAUAAGGAAGCCUGGCUGCCUGGAAGGAGUCGUCAUUCUCUCUUGAUAGCGAACCAUCAGUCCGAGCACUCAAGAAACUUUCUAUAGGGUGGUCCAGAUCUAAUUAUGCAAUAUUCAUUAUGCUAUAACUUAUUAAGUUUAUUACAUAGAA